rnacentral:rRNA from 1 species
CCCUUAGAUGUUCUGGGCCGCACGCGUGCUACACUGAGUGGAUCAGCGGGUCAGGUUGCGCGAAAGCGUUUCCUAAUCUUUAAAUCCGCUCGUGAUGGGGAUUGACGGUUGCAAUUUUCUGUCAUGAACGAGGAAUACCAUGUAAGCGCGGGUCAUCAUCCCGCGCUGAAUACGUCCCUGCCCUUUGUACACACCGCCGUCGCUCCUACCGAUUGAGUGGUCCGGUGAGGCUUUGGGAUCUGAGCGGAAAGAGCGUUUCGCUGUUUCUGCUCGGAAAACUCAGUCGAACCUUAUCAUUUAGAGGAAGGAGAAGUCGUAACA